rnacentral:rRNA from 1 species
GACGAAGGGGGCUAGCGUUGUUCGGAAUUACUGGGCGUAAAGCGCGCGCAGGUGGUCUUUCAAGUCAGUGGUGAAAGCCCGGAGCUCAACUCCGGAAAUGCCAUUGAAACUGUAAGACUUGAGGAUGAGAGAGGUGAGUGGAAUUCCCAGUGUAGAGGUGAAAUUCGUAGAUAUUGGGAAGAACACCGGUGGCGAAGGCGGCUCACUGGCUAAUAUCUGACGCUCAGGCGCGACAGCGUGGGGAUCAAACAGG